CAAAUAUAGUAGAGCAACACUUAGUCGUCAUGAUAUUGUUGCUGGUACUUGGCUAAGACUAUGUAGCUAACCUAUUUGCUAUUUCACUACCUUGCAAGUAAUUAACAUCUGUGUAAAAAACGUUGCAAUCAAACGAAUGGGUGACAUCAUGAACCAACCAGCUUCUGAAGAAGAUACAAAUAUCAAUAUAACUUAGGAUGGAUUUUUGCUCAGAAGUUUUCUACUCACAACUGAAUACUGAAAUUAUAUUUAAUAAUAUCAAUAUGACACAAUAGGUGGCAAUCAAAAAAAUGGGCGACAUAACUGUAACAUCCUCAUUCAUUCAUCUCCGCCUCAGAAGUCUGGAUAGAAAAGAGGAGAAUAUGAGAAAGACUGCAUAGUGGUGAUGUGUUAAAUUGCUACCGUAAUAACUGGUGUUUGAGUCAGCAAGUAUUUCAGGGACAUUUUGUGAAUAGGGCACACCAAAUGGGGCUAUCACUGGAAAUCUGAGAUGUCUGGUUACCUUACUCAAAGUCCCGCCCAUACAUAAAUAAAUAUAUUCAGGUGACAAGACAUGCUUCAUUGCCUUCAGUAGUUAACUUUGGUAUGAAAUGUUAUAUCCGUUAUAUGUCAUUCAAAGUCUUUGAUAUUUCUUUCGAGAGGGUCACACCUCCCCCAUCAAUAACUCCUAAAUAAUAUGAAUAAUGACUUAUUAAAAAAGAAAGAAGAUCCACUGCAGAUUUACUUGUUUAAAUUGAAAUUUUUAUCAAGUAUUUAAUGUGAUGAUAACUUAAACAUCAAAUUGCCCGGCUUUAUAUUAAUAAAAUUCAUACAAAAGAUAUGUUCCGAAAAAAUAGCCUUUUUUACAUUGCUAUUAAUUUACUGGAAUAAAAAAUAAAUUUCGGACUUAAAAUUAAUUUGUUAUCCAUGAAAAUUAUCAUGGUAAUUUCUUAUUAGUUAAAAAUAGUGAGUAAAGAAAAGAUGAAAUUUUCUCGUCUUUCUCUUAAAAUUCUAGGAUCUUUUUAUGCUGCCUCAACUCAUAUGUAUAAAAUAUAUCGGGAGAGGAAUUGCUCUCAAAAAAGCUUUAUUUAAUGACUUAUAUAUACACACUUAGACGUGUACAUUCACGGUAGAUGUGAUAACCCCCCUUAAAUCCUCUUGAGUGUAAAUUAAAAUCAUUCAUUAAAUCAGCUAUAAUAACAUGUGACGAAGUAGGAGUGGAAAAACGAAAUAAACAAGGAUAUUGACAAGAAUUACUGCAAUGUCGAUUCUCAAUUCUAAAAUGACUUACACUCCGCAAAAAAUCCUCAAGGUUACUCUCCGUCUUUUAUGAGUACACACGAAUGUUCAUUCGGGUUAAAAAUAUAAUUGAAGGUAUUAGAAAAGGAAGUUCACUACUCAAGAGUUUAGUAAUAAUGACGACAGCUAAGAAAAAUAAAAUUAUUCUUUAGAUUAUCAUUUCCAGAAAAACGGUCCAGCUAAAAAAUAUACACAAUUUACAUCACUACAGAUAAGUAUAAAAAUUAUAAUGCUUCUUGCUUGCAAAUACGUUUGAAUUAGUAAAUUCAAACUGGGAUAAAUAAUUAAUAAGAACAUUAUAUAGCAUAUAAUUCUUUUAUGUUCACCAGAAUUACGACAAUUUUCACGUCCCUGGUCGUAACUGGAAACAAAUUCAUUCCUUUAUCUAAGUGUGUAAUAUUAAAAAAAAUAUCAAAAUUAAAUAUGUAUUAGUAGUUGAUUCGUGAAAGACAAAUUUAUUUGAAUAAAACACAUUUGAGUUA
rnacentral:lncRNA from 1 species